GAUGAACGCUGGCGGCGUGCCUAACACAUGCAAGUCGAGCGAUUUACUUCGGUAAAGAGCGGCGGACGGGUGAGUAACGCGUGGGUAACCUGCCCUGUACACACGGAUAACAUACCGAAAGGUAUGCUAAUACGAGAUAAUAUGCUUUUAUCGCAUGGUAGAAGUAUCAAAGCUUUUGCGGUACAGGAUGGACCCGCGUCUGAUUAACUAGUUGGUGAGGUAACGGCUCACCAAGGCGACGAUCAGUAGCCGACCUGAGAGGGUGAUCGGCCACAUUGGAACUGAGACACGGUCCAAACUCCUACGGGAGGCAGCAGUGGGGAAUAUUGCACAAUGGGCGAAAGCCUGAUGCAGCAACGCCGCGUGAGCGAUGAAGGCCUUCGGGUCGUAAAGCUCUGUCCUCAAGGAAGAUAAUGACGGUACUUGAGGAGGAAGCCCCGGCUAACUACGUG
rnacentral:rRNA from 1 species